rnacentral:rRNA from 1 species
CAAUAGCGUAUAUUUAAGUUGUUGCAGUUAAAAAGCUCGUAGUUGGAUUUCGGGUGGGACGCAGCGGUCUCGCAUUGCGUUUGUACUGCUGCAGCCCUCCUUCUUGCCGGGGGCGGCCUCUCGGACUUCACUGUCUGGGGGUCAGAAUCGGCGAUGUUACUUUGAGUAAAUUAGAGUGUUCAAAGCAAGCUUACGCUCUGAAUAUAAUAGCAUGGGAUAACACGACAGGACUCUGGCCUAUCGUGUUGGUCUAUAGGACCAGAGUAAUGAUUAAGAGGGACAGUCGGGGGCAUUCGUAUUCCGUUGUCAGAGGUGAAAUUCUUGGAUUUACGGAAGACGAUCAUCUGCGAAAGCAUUUGCCAAGGAUGUUUUCAUUGA